UACGGAAGGCAGCAGGGGGGAAUAUUGCACAAUGGGCGCAAGCCUGAUGCAGCCAUGCCGCGUGUAUGAAGAAGGCCUUCGGGUUGUAAAGUACUUUCAGUCGUGAGGAAGGUGUUAAGGUUAAUAACCUUAGCAAUUGACGUUAGCGACAGAAGAAGCACCGGCUAACUCCGUGCCAGCAGCCGCGGUAAUACGGAGGGUGCGAGCGUUAAUCGGAAUUACUGGGCGUAAAGGGCACGCAGGCGGUUAAUUAAGUUGGAUGUGAAAUCCCCGGGCUUAACCUGGGAAUGGCAUUCAAGACUGGUUAGCUAGAGUCUUGUAGAGGGGGUAGAAUUCCAUGUGUAGCGGUGAAAUGCGUAGAGAUGUGGAGGAAUACCGGUGGCGAAGGCGGCCCCUGGACAAAGACUGACGCUCAUGUGCGAAAGCGUGGGGAGCAAACAGAUUAGAUACC
rnacentral:rRNA from 1 species